UGGAUACUGAUAUGGCCAUAUUCAGGAUGUACAAACAGCAACAAGAUCCCUCAAAUGGCUUCCUAGACACACAGGAGAACCAAGAGAAAUGAAGAUCCCUACGAGCUAUGGGUGAUCUCCAUCUAUGAUUCCCAGAUGGUGCAGCUCAGCAGUGCUGUUACCUCCUAUGGAUUGAAACUUGGCUUUUUGCUCAGCACAGAACAAGAAAAGAAAGAGGACUGUAAAUGAUCCACACGCAUUUCUUCAUCUGACCACCGAGGCUGCUGGUUGGAAAUAGGACUCUGAACACUUGCUUUGGCUUAGGAGAACGACAUUUUUUCCAGUUGCCACAUCCUAUUAAACAAUUGUCUUUAUUUUCCAA